rnacentral:rRNA from 1 species
AGCGAACGCUGGCGGCAGGCCUAACACAUGCAAGUCGAGCGCCCCGCAAGGGGAGCGGCAGACGGGAGAGUAACACGUGGGAACAUACCUUUUGGUUCGGAACAACUGAGGGAAACUUCAGCUAAUACCGGAUAAGCCCUUACGGGGAAAGAUUUAUCGCCGAAAGAUUGGCCCGCGUCUGAUUAGCUAGUUGGUGAGGUAACGGCUCACCAAGGCGACGAUCAGUAGCUGGUCUGAGAGGAUGAUCAGCCUCACUGGGACUGAGACACGGCCCAGACUCCUACGGGAGGCAGCAGUGGGGAAUAUUGGACAAUGGGGGCAACCCUGAUCCAGCCAUGCCGCGUGAGUGAUGAAGGCCUUAGGGUUGUAAAGCUCUUUUGCCCGGGAAGAUAAUGACGGUACCGGGAGAAUAAGCCCCGGCUAACUUCGUG